GAGAGCGGCACUCGUGCCGGACCCUCUCCCACCCUUGUGUAUCAACCUCUAUUGCCUUGGCGGGAGCCCCUUUAAGGGCCCGAAGCGCGGGAGCCUAGCCCCCCGCGGCCCGUCAGAGGUCCUAUCAGAAACCCUACCAUUGUGUCUAUCCGAGUCGUGGUUAUAAAAGCA
rnacentral:misc_RNA from 1 species